rnacentral:rRNA from 1 species
CGAAAGCCUGACGGAGCAACGCCGCGUGAGGGAUGAAGGCCUCUGGGCUGUAAACCUCUUUUAUCAAGGARGAAGAUCUGACGGUACUUGAUGAAUAAGCCACGGCUAAUUCCGUGCCAGCAGCCGCGGUAAUACGGGAGUGGCAAGCGUUAUCCGGAAUUAUUGGGCGUAAAGCGUCCGCAGGCGGCCUUGUAAGUCUGUUGUCAAAGCGUGGAGCUUAACUCCAUUUCGGCAAUGGAAACUGUGAGGCUUGAGUGUGGUAGGGGCAGAGGGAAUUCCCGGUGUAGCGGUGAAAUGCGUAGAUAUCGGGAAGAACACCAGUGGCGAAG